UACGUAGGGAGCAAGCGUUGUCCGGAAUCAUUGGGCGUAAAGCGCGCGUAGGUGGCCCCAUAAGUCCGCUGUGAAAGUCAAAGGCUCAACCUUUGAAAGCCGGUGGAUACUGUGGGACUAGAGUACGGAAGAGGCGAGUGGAAUUCCUGGUGUAGCGGUGGAAUGCGCAGAUAUCAGGAGGAACACCAAUAGCGAAGGCAGCUCGCUGGGACGUUACUGACACUGAGGCGACGAAAGCGUGGGGAGCGAACAGG
rnacentral:rRNA from 1 species